rnacentral:rRNA from 1 species
UACGAGGGGGGCGAGCGUUGUUCGGAAUUAUUGGGCGUAAAGGGUGCGUAGGCGGUUUGGUAAGUCUUAUGUGAAAUCUACAGGCUCAACUUGUAGUCUGCACGAGAAACUGCCGGGCUUGAGUAUGGGAGAGGUGAGUGGAAUUCCUGGUGUAGCGGUGAAAUGCGUAGAUAUCGGGAGGAACACCUGUGGCGAAAGCGGCUCACUGGACCACAACUGACGCUGAGGCGCGAAAGCUAGGGGAGCAAACAGG